ACGACCGUAGCUCAGCUGGUUAGAGCACCACCUUGACAUGGUGGGGGUCGGUGGUUCAAGUCCACUCGGUCGUACCA
rnacentral:tRNA from 2 species